rnacentral:rRNA from 1 species
AGAACGAACGCUGGCGGCAGGCUUAACACAUGCAAGUCGAACGCCCCGCAAGGGGAGUGGCAGACGGGUGAGUAACGCGUGGGAAUCUACCCAGUUCUACGGAAUAACACAGGGAAACUUGUGCUAAUACCGUAUACGCCCUACGGGGGAAAGAUUUAUCGGGAUUGGAUGAGCCCGCGUUGGAUUAGCUAGUUGGUGGGGUAAUGGCCUACCAAGGCGACGAUCCAUAGCUGGUCUGAGAGGAUGAUCAGCCACACUGGGACUGAGACACGGCCCAGACUCCUACGGGAGGCAGCAGUGGGGAAUAUUGGACAAUGGGCGCAAGCCUGAUCCAGCCAUGCCGCGUGAGUGAUGAAGGCCUUAGGGUUGUAAAGCUCUUUCAGUGGGAAGAUAAUGACGGUACCCACAGAAGAAGCCCCGGCUAACUUCGUGCCAGCAGCCGC